rnacentral:rRNA from 1 species
AUUGAACGCUGGCGGCAUGCCUUACACAUGCAAGUCGAACGGUAACGGGCCUUCGGGUGCCGACGAGUGGCGAACGGGUGAGUAAAGCAUCGGAACGUACCUUUCAGUGGGGGAUAACGUAGCGAAAGUUACGCUAAUACCGCAUAUUCUGUGAGCAGGAAAGCAGGGGAUCGCAAGACCUUGCGCUGAUUGAGCGGCCGAUGUCAGAUUAGCUAGUUGGUGAGGUAAAGGCUCACCAAGGCGACGAUCUGUAGCGGGUCUGAGAGGAUGAUCCGCCACACUGGAACUGAGACACAGUCCAGACUCCUACGGGAGGCAGCAGUGGGGAAUUUUGGACAAUGGGGGCAACCCUGAUCCAGCCAUGCCGCGUGAGUGAAGAAGGCCUUCGGGUUGUAAAGCUCUUUCGGUCGGGAAGAAAUCGCAUGGGUUAAUACCCUGUGCGGAUGACGGUACCGGCAUAAGAAGCACCGGCUAACUACGUGCCAGCCGCCGCAGUAAGAC